UGGGCUGCAGCGCCGGGGCUACCUCUUGGGGUGGAUACGGCUGGAGAGGAGCCAGAGCCCGUGCGCUGCCUCCUCCCAGCACGGGGCGGCUCCUGCUGCCUGCUCCUACCCCUGCCCCGGGGGCAGCCCGAGCCUCGGUCCCCUCCCGGCGGCGGGGAAGGGCAGGGCGUCCUCACUUCGUCCUCGGGAGAGAGCUGAUGAGGAGCUGGGGAGCGCCGGACAGAGCACCGUGCCGAAAGUACAGCAGUCUGCACAGCUGGAGAGCAGCAGUGUCUCCCUGUGUCCUAGAAGAACGUGCUCGCUGCAUGGGGACGUUUACUGCUCAGAGCGUCUCUGAAAACGCCAGUGUUUCUUGCCACCCUUCAGGCUCUUCUGAUCCUGGCUGAGCCCUGCCGGUCAAGAUUUCAUGGAGCUUAAUGGUCUGGGAGCUGCAUUUGUCCUACAAAGUUGUUCUACUUCUGAAGGUGUUCGGUGAGAUCCUAUUCUGACAAGUUUUAGCUGGAACUCAUGAAGAGUUCAUCUUGCUGAAAUCCCUUAUGCAGAGAAAUGCCUCAAAGGACUCAAUCUAUAAGGUGGGAAGAAAAACUGGCUGCAAAAAUGAGAUGGUUCUGAAGGUGCUGGCAAAAGAGAGCAUAAAAUGCUGCCUCCGGACAGGUGGAGGGUGGCAAACUACCAGCUGUGUCCCUCAUGUGACUAGAAUCUUGCAAAAUAGCAUUCCAGGUAUAAGGAGCUGAAGCAUUUUCUAAAUCACUUGGCUUGGAGUUUGUUUAAACAGAC